rnacentral:rRNA from 1 species
AGUGAACGCUGGCGGUAGGCCUAACACAUGCAAGUCGAACGGCAGCACAGUAAGAGCUUGCUCUUACGGGUGGCGAGUGGCGGACGGGUGAGGAAUACAUCGGAAUCUACUUUUUCGUGGGGGAUAACGUAGGGAAACUUACGCUAAUACCGCAUACGAACUACGGGUGAAAGCAGGGGAUCUUCGGACCUUGCGCGAGUGAAUGAGCCGAUGUAGGAUUAGCUAGUUGGCGUGGUAAAUGCCCACCAAGGCGACGAUCCGUAGCUGGUCUGAGAGGAUGAUUAGCCACACUAGAACUGAGACACGGUCCAGACUCCUACGGGAGGCAGCAGUGGGGAAUAUUGGACAAAGGGCGCAAGCCUGAGCCAGCCAUACCGCGUGGGUGAAGAAGGCCUUCUGGUUGUAAAGCCCUUUUGUUUGGAAAGAAAAGCAGCAGGUUAAUACCCCGCUGUUCUGACGGUACCCAAAGAAUAAGCACCGGCUAACUUCGUG